GUUCUGGCAUCGAUGAAGAACGCAGCGAAAUGCGAUAAGUAGUGUGAAUUGCAGAAUUCAGUGAAUCAUCGAAUCUUUGAACGCACAUUGCGCCCUUUGGUAUUCCAAAGGGCAUGCCUGUUCGAGCGUCAUU
rnacentral:rRNA from 1 species